rnacentral:sRNA from 1 species
UGAUGUAAUGGUACGGUUUUGGUUUUGC